AGGAAGAUAGAAAUCUUUGACAAGAAACUUCCCGCAUAACUAGAGGUGUCAAAUCAGACUGGCUCGUCCUAUUUAGAGUCGGUCCAUUUAAUAAACGGAUCAGUCGGGUCCAUUCAUUUAUGAAAAUCAUCAAUCUCGUCCCAAGCCCAUGACUCGACCCUAUAUGAGCUUGGGACCUGCUCGUGUCGGGCUACUAAAUAGACCAAAAUGGGCCCAAGCUAAAAUUGACUUAUGUAUUGCUUUUUUU
rnacentral:lncRNA from 1 species